rnacentral:rRNA from 1 species
AAUCAACGCUGGCGGCGUGCCUAACACAUGCAAGUCGAACGCGAAAGCCCCGCAAGGGGUAAGUAGAGUGGCAAACGGGUGAGUAACACGUGGGUGACCUGCCUUCGAGUGGGGGAUAACGUCCCGAAAGGGACGCUAAUACCGCAUGACAUCCUGCUUUUGAAAAAGCGGAGAUCAAAGCUGGGGAUCGCAAGACCUAGCGCUUGAAGAGGGGCCCGCGCCUGAUUAGCUAGUUGGUGAGGUAACGGCUCACCAAGGCGACGAUCAGUAUCCGGCCUGAGAGGGCGGUCGGACGCACUGGGACUUAGACACGGCCCAGACUCCUACGGGAGGCAGCAGUGGGGAAUUGUUCGCAAUGGGCGCAAGCCUGACGACGCAACGCCGCGUGGAGGACGAAGCUCUUCGGGUCGUAAACUCCUGCCGAGCGGGACGAACGCUUCGCGGAUGAAUAAUCCGCGGAAUUGACGGUACCGCUAAAGUAAGCCCCGGCUAACUCCGUG